rnacentral:rRNA from 1 species
AUUGAACGCUGGCGGCAGGCCUAACACAUGCAAGUCGAGCGGAUGAAGGGAGCUUGCUCCUGGAUUCCGCGGCGGACGGGUGAGUAAUGCCUAGGAAUCUGCCUGGUAGUGGGGGAUAACGUCCGGAAACGGGCGCUAAUACCGCCUACGUCCUGAGGGAGAAAGUGGGGGGUCUUCGGACCUCUCGCUAUCAGAUGAGCCUAGGUCGGAUUAGCUAGUUGGUGGGGUAAAGGCCUACCAAGGCGACGAUCCGUAACUGGUCUGAGAGGAUGAUCAGUCACACUGGAACUGAGACACGGUCCAGACUCCUACGGGAGGCAGCAGUGGGGAAUAGUGGACAAUGGGCGAAAGCCUGAUCCAGCCAUGCCGCGUGUGUGAAGAAGGUCUUCGGAUUGUAAAGCACGUUAAGUUGGGAGGAAGGGCAGUAAGUUAAUACCUUGCUGUAUUGACGGUACCAACAGAAUAAGCACCGGCUAACUUCGUG